AGUGAACGCUGGCGGUAGGCCUAACACAUGCAAGUCGAACGGCAGCACAGUAAGAGCUUGCUCUUACGGGUGGCGAGUGGCGGACGGGUGAGGAAUACAUCGGAAUCUACUUUUUCGUGGGGGAUAACGUAGGGAAACUUACGCUAAUACCGCAUACGACCUACGGGUGAAAGCAUGGGAUCUUCGGACCUUGCGCGAUUGAAUGAGCCGAUGUCGGAUUAGCUAGUUGGCGGGGUAAAGGCCCACCAAGGCGACGAUCCGUAGCUGGUCUGAGAGGAUGAUCAGCCACACUGGAACUGAGACACGGUCCAGACUCCUACGGGAGGCAGCAGUGGGGAAUAUUGGACAAUGGGCGCAAGCCUGAUCCAGCCAUACCGCGUGGGUGAAGAAGGCCUUCGGGUUGUGAAGCCCUUUUGUUGGGAAAGAAAAGCAGCAGGUUAAUACCCCGCUGUUCUGACGGUACCCAAAGAAUAAGCACCGGCUAACUUCGUG
rnacentral:rRNA from 1 species